GUUGUAUCCAUGACACAGAAAAGCAUAGAGAUGCUGAGUAUAACUUAAGCAGCUCAGAUGAAGUUACACAGCUAAUGAGUGAUGCUGUCAAAGAGAAGGGGCAACAAAAAUAGUCACUGGAGGAACUAUGCCAUGGAUUCCUGUUGAUUUAAAGAACUAUAAGAAACAUUUCACUGCAGUGUCACAACAGUGAAUCAGCUAAGAAGCCUGGCCUCCUCUGCUGUUCUGUGUCUACAUUCAGGCAUCAAGAAGCAACCAUAUGGUGGUGUUAAUACAACUUAUCUCUGUGAAUUAUAAUCUCUAAUAUGUGUGCGUGCAUCUCCCAAGGAUAUUGAAGUUUGAUCCCUAGGGGAAAAAUUAUACAUGACUUUAUUCUUGAGAAAUAAACAAUUCAUUCUAAUGCACCCCUGGUUGCAGCAUGUGUAGGAGUGUGAGGUUCACACUCCAAAGUCUUUAUUCAUUGACAGAGUUAAAACAGAAGGAAAAAUAACAUAAAAAUCAUGGCAAAUGUUAUAGAUUCCUUUAAAGUACUAUAUUAAUAUAUUGGGAUUAAG
rnacentral:lncRNA from 1 species